AUUGAAACUAGUAUGAAUGGUUAAAUAAGUCAAAUCAGUUUGUUUUUUUAGAAAAAAAAUUAAAGAUAAAGUAAGAAUUCUUUAAUAAAUUAGGGGACGAUAAGACCCUAAAAGCUUCAUAGUUAGUAAAUAUUUAGUGGUAUUAAAAAAAAUUAAUUCACUGGGGCAGUGGUUUUAUUUAGAUUAAAAAAUAAAUUAAAGAUCCUUUAAAUAAAGAUUUUAUGGAAAAGUUACUUUAGGGAUAACAGUGCAAUAUAUUUGGGGAGACCAUAUCUAUAAAUAUGCUUGCAACCUCGAUGUUGAAUUAGAAUUUCUAUGCAGGCAAAAUAUGUACAAGAAAGUUUGUUCAACUUUUAAAUUUCUACAUGAUCUGAGUUCAAACCGG
rnacentral:rRNA from 1 species